GUCAGGAGUGAGAUCACAAGCUCGUUUGAAAGAUUCAAUUUAGUCGCUAUUCUGUAGGGAUUGACCAGUCACCAAACUCCUUUCAGAGGAGCAAUAAUAAAACACACAUUGCACUUUAGAAAGGUUGCUCUGGUGACAAGGUGGAAGAAACAUUGGAGAGUCAGGGACUGAGGAUGAGGUGAGUGGAAAGGGGUCGUUUAAGAGACCGUGGCAGUGAUCCAGGCAAAGGGAGACAUGACCCCGAGUAUUAGACUCAGAGGAGAGAAACCACUGUGUCAUCCUUCAAAUUCCUCUUCAAAGACAUGUAUCUGGGAAAAUCCAUCAAGUAACUGAAGAGUAAAAGGAUGAAAGGCAGGAAAAAUGUGAGCAGAAAUUACUCCUGUCUCUAAGGAGCCUGUGGAGUUGGCCUCUGUUCCAGAGAAGAUGCUGGAAGGCUUGGUGUUGCUGAUGUGGAUUCAUUGAGAAAAGUGUACUCCUCAGAGGUACCGUGGACUUGUGGGCACUAGUGUUAAAGAACCCACCUGCCAAUGCAGGAGACAUAAGAGAUGCAAGUUUCAUCCCUGGGUUGGGAAGAUCCCCUGGAGUAAGAAAUGACAACGCACUCCAGUAUUCUUGCCUGGAGAAUCCCAUGAGCAGAGGAGACUGGUAGGCUGUAGUCCAUAGGGUCACAAAGAGUUGGACACAAUUGAAGCAACUGAACAUACAUGAAUGCAUAGGAAUCAUCUCAAAAC
ensembl:lncRNA